rnacentral:rRNA from 1 species
AUUGAACGCUGGCGGCAUGCCUUACACAUGCAAGUCGAACGGCAGCACGGGAGCUUGCUCCUGGUGGCGAGUGGCGAACGGGUGAGUAAUACAUCGGAACGUACCCUGAAGUGGGGGAUAACGUAGCGAAAGUUACGCUAAUACCGCAUAUUCUGUGAGCAGGAAAGAGGGGGAUCGCAAGACCUCUUGCUUUAGGAGCGGCCGAUGUCGGAUUAGCUAGUUGGUGAGGUAAAGGCUCACCAAGGCGACGAUCCGUAGCGGGUCUGAGAGGAUGAUCCGCCACACUGGGACUGAGACACGGCCCAGACUCCUACGGGAGGCAGCAGUGGGGAAUUUUGGACAAUGGGCGCAAGCCUGAUCAGCCAUGCCGCGUGAGUGAAGAAGGCC